UGUCUUGUAAUUGGAAUGAUGGUGACCUAAACCCUCACCAGAGUAACAAUUGGAGGGCAAGUCUGGUGCCAGCAGCCGCGGUAAUUCCAGCUCCAAUAGCGUAUAUUAAACUUGUUGCAGUUAAAAAGCUCGUAGUUGAAUUUUUGCGUGGUGUUAAUAUUGACUGAUGUCGAGAUUGCACUUCGCUUUUGGGAUUUUUCCCUUUUUACUUUGAGAAAAUUAGAGUGUUUCAAGCAGACUUUUGUCUUGAAUACUUCAGCAUGGAAUAAUAGAGUAGGACUUUGGUUCUAUUUUGUUGGUUUGUGAACCUUAGUAAUGGUUAAUAGGAACGGUUGGGGGCAUUCGUAUUUAACUGUCAGAGGUGAAAUUCUUAGAUUUGUUAAAGACGAACUACUGCGAAAGCAUUUGCCAAGGACG
rnacentral:rRNA from 1 species